GUUUAUCGUGCAUGGCACUAAUCCACUGACGUAUUCUUACAUGCAGCGGUCUCCCAGAGUCCCUGUGCUUCAUGUUGAUUAAUGCCAGAGUUCAACUUACUUUGGGUCAUCAUGAGAAUAGCGAUGCAGGGUAUUAAGUCGGCGCAAUAACUACAAAGGAAACACGGGCUACAGAUAAUAACACACCUGGACAAAAGAAUAAUUUAUGAGACCACUCCUGUAACCUGAGAUAUAUAGACUUGUGAUAAAUCGUAUUAAGGUUUCAUUCACAAGUCUCGGAUGAGUCAUUGUACGUAUGACGGAUUGUCAAUACAAUGCGAAGAUUUAACCAAUUAAAGAUUGCUCCAAUUUCUUCCCAAAGACGUGCACGAGUUGUCCUUCAUUUCGCAGGUCCUCAAUAUCAAUUCAGGUGGAUGAAGAUAUAAAACUUGACAACAUGUCCAAAACGCGAUGGCAGGUGGCGAAACACUCCAUUGUUAACGCCAGAUUAAAACAAAUAACUCUAUAACGCCUGUAAAUAUUAAUAUCACCAAGAAUUAAAAUUUGAAAAUGUC